GGCACUGUGGCUCAAGUGGUAGAGCACUUCCUUUGAGAUGAAGAGCUGAGGGACAGUGCCC
rnacentral:tRNA from 1 species